AUUUUGUAGUUUGAUGUUUGUUAUUAUUAUCAAUAUUGUCAUUUGCUUGUAAAGAAAGCAGUAUCACUCUAUAUUCACUAGCAUUUAUCUAAAAACAUUGUCUUGCUAAUAUUCGUACAUACUUUAUUGGGCUGUUUCUAGGUGAAAUUUUGGAUAUUGAUUUUGUUUGGUUGGUUUGCAAGUUUCGUUAAACUAGCAUCGUAAAGAGAUGUUAUCAAACAAGGGAGUUUCUUACAUGAAAAUGGAUAUGCUGAACACGUUCCUUAUUUUCGCUGUUUUGAAUGUAAUUGUUACAAUGGCUAAAUAUAAAGAGACAAGUUGUCCAUGGUCAGACCAGGUUGAAACAGUUGAUUCAUGUCCACAAACAGCUGUUGAAUGGAAAGAAGCAGCCGCUAGGAAAAGCUGUAAAACUAUACUGCAUAACUGCUUCUCAUCGGAAUACCACUGCGUUAUAUUUUAUUUAUGUUUUUAUUAUGUAAUUUUGAUGUGGUAGCAUAACGUUUGGUUAUUUGUUAAAUAAUCGAUAACGUGUAUUACUUAAAUUAGAUAUUCUCAAUUUUUUUUCUUUCAUCAGAAUUUACAUUCAUAAAUAUUAAUAUAAAUAAUGUAGAUUAUAUUCUUGUUCA